GACGAACGCUGGCGGCGUGCUUAACACAUGCAAGUCGAACGGAAAGGCCCUGCUUGCAGGGUACUCGAGUGGCGAACGGGUGAGUAACACGUGGGUGAUCUGCCCUGCACUUCUGGAUAAGCCUGGGAAACUGGGUCUAAUACCGGAUAGGAGCCAUUUUUAGUGUGAUGGUUGGAAAGUUUUUUCGGUGUAGGAUGAGCUCGCGGCCUAUCAGCUUGUUGGUGGGGUAAUGGCCUACCAAGGCGGCGACGGGUAGCCGGCCUGGGAGGGUGGACGGCCAAAUUGGGACUGGGAUACGGCCCAGACUCCUACGGGAGGCAGCCGGGGGGAAUAUUGCACAAUGGGGGGAAGCCUGAUGCAGCGACGCCGCGUGGGGGAUGACGGCCUUCGGGUUGUAAACUCCUUUCGCUAGGGACGAAGCUUUUUGUGACGGUACCUAGAUAAGAAGCACCGGCUAACUACGUG
rnacentral:rRNA from 1 species